rnacentral:rRNA from 1 species
CAACCCUUGACAUCCUGUGCUAACUCCAGAGAUGGAGUGUUCCCUUCGGGGACGCAGUGACAGGUGCUGCAUGGCUGUCGUCAGCUCGUGUCGCGAGAUGUUCGGUUAAGUCCGGCAACGAGCGCAACCCACACCCUUAGUUGCCAGCAGUUCGGCUGGGCACUCUAAGGGAACUGCCCGUGAUAAGCGGGAGGAAGGUGUGGAUGACGUCAAGUCCUCAUGGCCCUUACGGGUUGGGCUACACACGUGCUACAAUGGCAGUGACAAUGGGUUAAUCCCAAAAAACUGUCUCAGUUCGGAUUGUUCUCUGCAACUCGAGAGCAUGAAGUCGGAAUCGCUAGUAAUCGCGUAACAGCAUGACGCGGUGAAUACGUUCCCGGGUCUGUACACACCGAAUCUAGAUCAUAAGAU